AGGACGAACGCUGGCGGCAUGCCUAAUACCCGCAAGUCGAACGCCAAAUCUUCCUGCUUGCAGGAAGAGGCGGAGUCGGCGAACGSGUGAGUAACACGUGAGGAACUUGCCCAUAAGAGGGGGAUAACACCCGGAAACGGGUGCCUAAUACCGCAUAGGUUUUCCUAGUGCAUGCUGGGAAAAUAAAAGGUGGCUCUGCUACCGCUUAUGGAUAGCCUCGCGGCGCAUUAGCUAGUUGGUAGGGUAACGGCCUACCAAGGCCAUGAUGCGUASCGACUUGAGAGGGUGAUCGGCCACACUGGAACUGAGACACGGUCCAGACUCCUACGGGAGGCAGCAGUAGGGAAUCUUCCACAAUGGGUGCAAGCCUGAUGGAGCAAUGCCGCGUGAGUGAAGAAGGACUUCGGUUCGUAAAGCUCUGUUGUUGGGGAAGAACACGGAUAGGAGUCACUGCCUAUCCCUUGACGGUACCCAACCAGAAAGUCACGGCUAACUACGUGCCAGCAGCCGCGGUAAUACGUAGGUGACAAGCGUUGUCCGGAUUUAUUGGGCGUAAAGCGAGCGCAGGCGGUCCGGUAAGUCUGAUGUGAAAGCCCACGGCUCAACCGUGGAACGGCAUUGGAAACUGGCGGACUUGAAUGUAGCAGAGGAAAGUGGAAUUCCAUGUGUAGCGGUGGAAUGCGUAGGUAUAUGGAGGAACACCAGUCGCGAAAGCGACUUUCUGGRCUAUGAUUGACGCUGGGGCUCGGAAGGGUGGGG
rnacentral:rRNA from 1 species